UCUCAAAGCAAGGACGUUACAUCAGAAGGACUGUGGACGUAGUUAACACCCCGCUGCGCCCAUUGUUUCGCCGUGCGAAAUCCCGCUGCCUUUCUUUGUGCCCGCCCCGCCGCGGUAUUUCUUUGUAUAGAACGUCCGGUGCGGGUUUUCGCGGGGUUUUGCUGGAAAUUACAUAUUAAUGAGCAACGCUAUGACGUCAGAUAGCCCGAGCCGUCCCGAGGACUCGCUCGGAAUCCAGCUGUUUUCCGACUAUUUCCUUAUUUGGGGAGCGUUUCUGUCAUGCGCAGAAGUCUGCAUCUUUUAGAGAAAGAAAUGGCGGACAUUUUGGUGUUUAUCUGAUCGUCGUAGGACAAUCAUGGGUCGCACACUGCUGGGGAAGGGAAGGCCACUCAAUCGACGUCAUAGAGCAUACAGCUUUGCCGAAAAGGCCAUAUACUAUAUAGUCUGAAUAAAAAAAUUCACGCAACUGAAGCAAGAGUAGUAAUCAUCGUGUUCUAUUUUUAUAAACUGUAACGUUAUUUCUAAAUAGACUAAGUAACGGUUAUGUCUUGUAGAUCUCCGAGUCGGUAUCAGACUUGACGGUAGCGAUGAAUAAAGGUCCCCCCUCCCCACCGUUUAUUUAUUUCCGCUACGCAAGCACACUUGCGCUACGCAAGCAAAGUAUGAACAAGGACGUUAUAUAACGUCCUUGUUAUGAACGGGUCUUGAAGGUAAGAAUUUUUUUUAUAAGGAUGCUCUUAAAAUACAAAAUUGUUUUUAAAAUAAACUUCUAACAUUAA